UGGUGGCUCUGUGAAGACUGACAUUAGCAAAGAAGAACAUGGCGUUGAUGAGUUCCGGCCAACAACUCCGGGAAACAGCCCCGGCAUUGGCCAUUGAUCCAUUAGAACCUAAAUAAUUACAAUAUUUACAAACUUGUGCAUAGUGUACCAAGCUUAAUGUGUUUGUCUUUCUGAUAUUCUCUUCUCUUUUCGUUUCAUUUUUCUUUUUUUUUACAAUUAUUGGUUAAAGUGUAUUAUAUCUUGUAAAUACAAUCAAAUUAUUAUUCGUAGCAACCUA